rnacentral:rRNA from 1 species
UACGGAGGGUGCAAGCGUUAUCCGGAUUUACUGGGUUUAAAGGGUGCGUAGGUGGGCAGGUAAGUCAGUGGUGAAAUCUCCGGGCUUAACUCGGAAACUGCCAUUGAUACUAUUUGUCUUGAAUAUCCUGGAGGUAAGCGGAAUAUGUCAUGUAGCGGUGAAAUGCUUAGAUAUGACAUAGAACACCCAUUGCGAAGGCAGCUCACUACACAAUCAUUGACGCUGAGGCACGAAAGCGUGGGGAUCAAACAGG